AAACCUUCCCAGCCUUUUAGCUAAGAUCAAGGGUAGUAUCUGUUCUUACUAGUUUAAAAUAAGGAAAAACUAAUCCCUCUAAGAAGUUAAACUGUCUACAGUCUCAGGAGGUCACCACCUACUAAAUUUUGUGACUCACCUAGUUGGAGGUUUGACCACACCCCUAAUACUCCCUUACAACAAGAUCUCCU